GAAAACUCUAUGGCUGUUCCUCAUAAAGUUGAAAAUAGUACUACCCUGUUGUCCAUUAAUCACAGUAAUGGGCAUUUACCCCCAAAAUAGAGAAAUACUAAUUCAAAGGUAUGCAUGCACCCCUAUGCUUGUAGCAGCA